rnacentral:rRNA from 1 species
AACGGACGCUGGCGGCGUGCCUAACACAUGCAAGUCGAACGAGAAAGGGGCUUCGGCUCCGAGUAAAGUGGCGCACGGGUGAGUAACACGUGGGUAACCUGCCUCUAAGAUUGGGAUAACUCGUCGAAAGAUGAGCUAAUACCGGAUAAGACCACAGUUCCCGCGGGAACAGGGGUCAAAGGUAGCCUCUGCUUGCAAGCUAUCACUUAGAGAUGGGCCUGCGCACCAUUAGCUAGUUGGUAGGGUAACGGCCUACCAAGGCAAAGAUGGUUAGCUGGUCUGAGGGGAUGAUCAGCCACACUGGAACUGAGACACGGUCCAGACUCCUACGGGAGGCAGCAGUGGGGAAUAUUGCGCAAUGGGCGAAAGCUUGACGCAGCAAUGCCGCGUGAGUGAUGAAGGCCUUCGGGUCGUAAAGCUCUGUCGGGAGGAACGAAUGCUCCCAAGGUUAACAGCCUCGGGAGGUGACGGUACCUUCAAAGGAAGCACCGGCUAACUCUGUGCCAGCAGCCGCGGUAAGAC